UAAGAGAGAAAGGAAAAAAACACCCACGAGCACGACCCCUCCCACAUCUCCACCUCCAGUGCGCCGCCACCCCUGCCACGCUGCUGCGCGCCGCCGGGCGCGGCGACGGCGAUCUCCGGCCAGAUCCGGACGAGGAGGUGAGGCAGUGGCAGGAUCCUGUUCCAGGAUGGCGUGGAGGCGAUCUAGGAGGCGCGGGAGGAGGUCCAGCGGAGGGGCUUGAACUCCAAGUUCAUGGCGGCGGUGUUCCUUGCCGGUUCCGAGCGAGAUGGCAAGCUCCGGCGGAGUCUCUCCAUGGAUACGGUGGCGCUGCACCUAUGAGAGAGACAUAUGUGAGGCGAGAGAUAGAAAGGAAGGAGGGGCAGUGAGAAGGAGAGGGCGCGAGGACCGGCGAGGAAGUCCUAGUGGUGCCCGUGUCCUGCAGCAGCUCAGCUCCAGGGCCGCGUUGCGAUACGGCAUCGACGGGAGGCGAUGGAGAUGAGCAGCUUGUGUCCGUCCUGCAGCGCGCAUUCUUAAUCCCCAAGCACUAGAUUGCAACGCCGGCCCGCCAGCCCGCACAUAUGCAUGUGUGCAGCCCCCACCCAUGCGUGAGCCGUGGCGCGCGUGGCCGCCGAUGAUCUGGUGAGAACCCACAUCGCUGAGCAGGUUGCAGCGGUGCUUCUCUUGAAUUUACUAAUUUUCGCAUGGUGCAGGCCCUCUGACUUCACCUUUUUGGAAUCGCUUAGGAUAUUUGAUGCUUGCCUGCAUAUAUGUGCACACCGGCACACGGCACACCGAAAUGAUGUGAAGUCAUCAGCUUUUUUCAUAGAAACAGUAGCAGAGGAUUCUUCUAUACUGGAGUAUAAGUCAAUUAUCUUUGGCCUAAUAAGAGAGCAAAUUAAUUAACUAUAUCUGAAAAACCAUUAAAUCCAGAAUAAGCACAUGCUCCACAAAUGCUAUACAUGUUCUCCCCUAUGUUCUUUUUGGUAAUCCAUUUCACCACUGACUAAAUUGUAUCACCCUGUGCUAGGUCUGAAUUUGACGGUUUACUUGAGAAAACUUCUGCUGAAGUUAAUGGUUCCCUGUCAAAUCUGCGCAUAUGUAACUGCAGCAAGAACUGCUGGUGAUGCACAAGCUAGGGAUCAGCUGGAACGUCCUAUUGAAUGCCUUCAUGGGGACAAUCGUGAGCACUCCAAGAUUGCAUUACCUUGGCCCAGCUUAAGUGUUUACACUUUGCUUAAUAUGGGAUAGUGCAUCAUUGAGCCAUGUAUAUCUGCUUAAUUUUACAUUACUGGAUUUACUUGCUUUACAAAAAUAUUGCAGCCAAAAUAUUUUCCUUUGACGAUGGCUUCAUUGAUCUCUCUGAAUCUUAGGUUUCAUGUUACUCACCACUGUUUUUAUUAAUGGUGUAACUUAGGUUUCAAGAUUAUUUCGCCAACCAUGUGGAGCCGCUGACGUUUACUCUCCCUGAAGACUCAGUGGCCAGCUCAGGUGCUUCCUUCGAUCUGAUCUGCAGCAAAGCGUUUUCCAUGACCUCUUGAAUUCUUGUCGAUGGAUCCAAGUCAAAAUAAAAUUGUUUUGCCAAUGAAAGCACAUAUGAAUUGUUCCUCUAAUUUGGUAUUCUUUUCAGACACUAUACUAAUCGUGAAGUUGCUAUUAUGAUCCUCAUUGCUUAUUUAAUGAUGGCUGAAGUGUACUAACAUCAUAUUCAUACAAUAUAAUUUGUCAUUAUUAUCAGCUAGCUUAAAUGAUAUUCACUGGUUGCUUUACAUGGCACUUGCUUGAGUUGAGUGAUACUCUUAGUCCUGUCUCAGCAUCAUGGUUCGGGAAAAAGUGGUGUACGAAUGGCUUCGGAGGAUAGUUUGCAGAGGUACUUAAGUUUGUCAGGUUCUCUGAAAAAGCAUUCAAGAAGGGUGAAGCAAUCUUUUACUUAAUUCGGAAGCUCUUGUCAUUGUUAAUGAUACUAUGAUACUCUGAUUGCACGAGUCCAUGAAGCAAGCAAUAAUCUAUCUCAAAAAUUUGUGUCCAAGCAUAUAACGGUACUACAACUUACGAGUUCUGACUAUGGCUGUGUAGCACGCUGACAAGACAAGAGAAUAAUGCCUCUAAGGCAUUUGUCCGAGCUAUGCCGCUUCCUAUCAAACUCAAGUUCGGCGCUCCGUCUGCACUCGAGCAUAGCUGUCGGCCAUCAGCUCGCUCAAGCAAACACGCUGACCGUCCGCGCACGAUCUCCUCCCAGCCUUCGACAUGUUAUUUUUGCAUGCAAGGCUAAUAAGCUAUCUCCACCUCCUUUUUCUGUCCGAGCUCCUCCCUACCCUGUCAAAACCAAAUGCUACCAUCUCCUUUCCUUGGCAUGCUAAAACUUAUGUCAGUUCAUUUUCAUGGAUAGAUUAGUGAGAAUGAGAUUGGGCUCUUUACACUAUACAGAGGAUGAGGAGCUAUAUGUGCUACGAGAUGUUGCUUGACGUGUGGUUCUGGGACCUUCUGUUGUUCAAAUUACAGCUCCCUUAUUUAGUACUAGGCAUUCCCACUGAUACUGACGAUACAUGGAGCAUUUCCAGCAGUGGCAGUAGAGACAUGUAGCACCACUUCUUGGUAGAUUUUGUCCAUUUACUUUUUGUAUCCUUUGAAUUAGAAUAUUCUGUGCAAGAUUUGAGUUUGAAUCUGGUCAAAUUAAUCUUGUACUCUCUGAAUGAAAUAACGUCUCAUAUCUUACUAAAUUUUGUUGUGUAUUGGAA